GGGACAACCCGCCGAAAGGCGGGCUAAACCCGCGUACAUGCCACCGGGGCAUCCCGGAGGCAGGAAAGGCUUCGGCCGGACAGGGAUGGGCAUGCGGCGCAUUAGGCAGUAGGCGGGGUAACGGCCCACCUAACCGACGAUGCGUAGGGGUUCUGAGAGGAAGGUCCCCCACACUGGUACUGAGACACGGACCAGACUCCUACGGGAGGCAGCAGUGAGGAAUAUUGGUCAAUGGUCGGGAGACUGAACCAGCCAAGCCGCGUGAGGGAGGAAGGUACAGAGUAUCGUAAACCUCUUUUGUCAGGGAACAAAGACUGGGACGCGUCCCCGGAUGAGUGUACCUGAAGAAAAAGCAUCGGCUAACUCCGUGCCAGCAGCCGCGGUAAUACGGAGGAUGCGAGCGUUAUCCGGAUUUAUUGGGUUUAAAGGGUGCGCAGGCGGUCUGUUAAGUCAGCGGUCAAAGCCCGGGGCUCAACCCCGGCCCGCCGUUGAAACUGGCAGUCUCGAGUUGGAGAGAAGUAUGCGGAAUGCGCGGUGUAGCGGUGAAAUGCGUAGAUAUCGCGCAGAACUCCGAUUGCGAAGGCAGCAUGCCGGCUCCACACUGACGCUGAGGCACGAAAGCGUGGGUAUCGAACAGGAUUAGAUACCCUGGUAGUCCACGCAGUAAAC
rnacentral:rRNA from 1 species